GCCUGCCAAAGGGGGCGCUGUGACGCCUUAAACAUGGUGAUUUCGCAGUAGAAGAAACAUCAGCUUUCCUUCAUACUUUACAUUUCAGGGCGCAGAGGCAGGAGGCCCAUCAAUGGGGGGGUAGCGUACGGAGGAAAUGGUGUGUAAUUUUGCCACCUGACACUUGUGCAUCCACCAUUAGAUGAGCCCAGCCGUCUCUGCAGGUCCAGUGAUUCGAGCAAAUCGUCUCAUGACGUCAUAGAGCUCCUGCACCUCCUUUGGGUAGCAACGCUCCAGUACUGCAAAACCACAAGGGAGAGAGAGAAAAGCAGGGAACCUGACUCUAGUGACAAAGUGGCAAGAAAAGAAAGAAGAAAAGAGCAAUGUACCUGACCUUUGAACCCUGACACUUGGUCACACUGAAGCAAAAGGUGCCACACACACACACAGGUCACACUUUGCCUACUUGCCCUGGUCCCGUGGCCCGGUUCCUUUUUAAUGGGGAUGAAAACGCCAACUCGUCACAACAGAACAGCGGACACACACAUGCACACGUUACCAACAAUAAAAUGUUUUUCACGCUGACGUCACAUGAGGGUCAACGUUGACCACGCGCCAUCACGUCACUCAUGGCGUCCACGCUCAUGAGCCACUUGUGUUUGUUGUGGGCGGGGAGAGGUUUUGACUUGUAAAGUAGAAUAUAAAACGUAAAAUGAGGUAAAUAGAAGGUAAAAAAGGUUAAAAAAACAAAAUAGAAGGUAAAACAAGGUCAAUAGAAGGAAUAUAGAAGGUAAAAUAAGGUAAAUAGAUGUUUAAAAAGGUAAAUAGAGGGUAAAAAAUAGGUAAACAAUAGAUAUAGAUGGUAAAAGAAGAUAAAACAAGGUAAAGGACGGUCAAAGAAGGUAAAUUGAAGGUAAAAUAAGUUAAAUAAAAAGUUAAAAAAAGUUGGAUGAAAGGUAAAAUAAGGUAAAACAAGAUAAAAUAAGGUAAAAGACAGUCAAAGAAGGUAAAUAAAAGGUAAAAUAAGUUAAAAAGAAGGUAAAAAAAAGUUUAAAGAAGGUGGGGCGGUAUAGCUCGGUUGGUAGAGCGGCCGUGCCAGCAACUUGAGGGUUGCAGGUUCGAUCCCCGCUUCCGCCAUCCUAGUCACUGCCGUUGUGUCCUUGGGCAAGACACUUUACCCACCUGCUCCCAGUGCCACCCACACUGGUUUGAAUGUAACUUAGAUAUUGGGUUUCACUAUGUAAAGCGCUUUGAGUCACUUGAGAAAAAGCGCUAUAUAAAUGUAAUUCACUUCACUUCACUAAAACAUUAUAAAAAAUGGUAACUAGACGGUAAAUAUAAGGUCAAAUAAGUAAAUAGAAGGUUAAAAAAAGAUUGUACAAGGUAACAUGGUCAAUUAAGGUUCUUACAAAAAUCUUUGUUUAGUUCAACUAUUUUCCCUAAAAUACACAUUGAGGCGCUAAAGUGUGUUUUACCGAUUAAUUGAACAAACUUAUUGAUAGAUUAUUCGAUUACUAAACUAACUGAUAUGGGCAUCAGUAAAUGACAAAUGCACACUAGCAUUAAACUACAAUAGUCCCACCUUCUCAGUAAUCUGUUACAAAAGGUCUGAUCGUAUCGUACGAAAACGGAUGUAAAUUUUUCAUUAAAAAAACUUUGGCAAAUCCAAUUAACUUGUUCCAGACACACACAAAUUGACGAUUCUUGUUAGAGCCAGGGGUGUGUAUUACGUGUACGCACAUUUUAUUCCCGUUUCUCACCUUCUUAAUCAAAGUGCUGCCAAUCACAACUAAGGCUGAAACGACGCGUCGACGUAGUCGACGUCAUCGGUUACGUAAAUACGUCGACGCCGUUUUUGUGCGUCGACGCGUCGCAUAUUUACGUCACACUACCGUCAUGGCGGAGCGCAAAGCAGACUGUGCGAGCGAGGGGGAAAACGCACGCCAAAAGUCGUCAAAAGUGUGGGAGUAUUUCAAUACACAGCCUAAUAAUGUUGUUGUAUGCACACUGUGUCGAGCGGAAAUGGCCUAUCAUAGCAGCACAACGGCUAUGAACGAACAUUUGAAAAGAAAACCAUCAACCAUCAACUAGUCAAUCGUCCGCGUUAGCAUACGUUGUCAUCAUUACACAAAAACAUGAAUGUGUCAUUUGUAUCUGCUAGGGGUGUAACGGUAUGUGUUUUGUAUUGAACCGUUUCGGUACGGGGCUUUCGGUUCGGUACGGGGGCGUACCGAACGAGUUUCUAAGCUAAAGCUAACUUUAGCUGCUAAAGUCUUAACAAGUUGCUUUGCUCCUCUGCCUCUGCCUCAGCACGCAGCAUUGUCCCACCCAUACAACCAUCUGAUUGGUACACACGCAGCAUUGUCCCACCCACACAACCAUCUGAUUGGUACACACGAAGCAUUAUCAGCCAAUCAGCAGUGCGUAUUCAUAGCGCAUGUAGUCAGCGCUUCAGCGUGGAGCAGAUAGGUGUUUAGCAGGUGAGCAUCAGGCAGCUGACUCUCCCCAAAUGAUAAUAAACACCUCCCAGUCAACUACUAGUAACAUCACUAUGAGCCCGUUGACCUACUAGAAACUUAAACUGCAGCUCAGCUCGCUCACAGUCCUGGUUUGAGGUGAAGGCUAAUUACCUCUCAGUUCCAGCCACAUCGACCCCUUCUGAGUGCCUAUUUUCAGCUGCUGGGAAUAUUGUAAACAAGAAAAGAAGCAAAGCAUGUAGACAUGCUAACCUUUCUUCAUUACAACUGUUAGUCACUCACUGGAAUGAGUAGAAUUAGUUAUUGUGUACUGUGUUGGACUGGAUGUUUAUUUUGCACAUUUUAAAAGCAAUACUUAAUGUUUACAGUGCUCCAGAAUAUUUAGAUUGGCACUUUUUUGUAUUGGAUGUUUAUCUUUAUUUUUGCACAUUUUAGCAAAUAAGCAAUACUUUCACUUUUGUUGAGAUGUUUACACUGUUGUUACAGAAUAUUUCGUUUUGCACUUUUUUGUAUUGGAUGUUUAUCUUUAUUUUUGCACAUUUUAAAGCAAAAUAAGCGAUACUUUUACUUUUGAAAUGCUUAUACUAUUGCAGAAUAUUAAGAUUUGCACUGGAUGUUUACUUUUAUAUUUGCACAUUAAAAAGCAAAUAAGCUACUUUUAAUUUUGUUAAAUGUUAAAAGUUUUAAAUGUUUACAUUGUUACAGAAUAUUUUGACAUGUUGUUGUCAAUGUUGACUGA